CACGGGGGGAGCAAGCGUUGUUCGGAAUCAUUGGGCGUAAAGAGCUCGUAGGUGGCCUAGUAAGUCAGGUGUGAAAGCCCAGGGCUCAACCCUGGAAGUGCACUUGAAACUGCAUGGCUUGAGUACGGUAGAGGUAAGCGGAAUUCCUGGUGUAGUGGUGAAAUACGUAGAUAUCAGGAGGAACAUCGGUGGCGAAGGCGGCUUACUGGACCAGUACUGACACUGAGGAGCGAAAGCAUGGGGAUCAAACAGG
rnacentral:rRNA from 1 species